GACGAACGCUGGCGGCGUGCUUAACACAUGCAAGUCGAACGGGAAGGCCCUGCUUUUGUGGGGUGCUCGAGUGGCGAACGGGUGAGUAACACGUGAGUAACCUGCCCUUGACUUUGGGAUAACUUCAGGAAACUGGGGCUAAUACCGGAUAGGAGCUCCUGCUGCAUGGUGGGGGUUGGAAAGUUUCGGCGGUUGGGGAUGGACUCGCGGCUUAUCAGCUUGUUGGUGGGGUAGUGGCUUACCAAGGCUUUGACGGGUAGCCGGCCUGAGAGGGUGACCGGCCACAUUGGGACUGAGAUACGGCCCAGACUCCUACGGGAGGCAGCAGUGGGGAAUAUUGCACAAUGGGCGGAAGCCUGAUGCAGCAACGCCGCGUGCGGCAUGACGGCCUUCGGGUUGUAAACCGCUUUCGCCUGUGACGAAGCGUGAGUGACGGUAAUGGGUAAAGAAGCACCGGCUAACUACGUG
rnacentral:rRNA from 1 species